GAAGGGUCUUUGUGAUUGGCGGAGCCCUGGAUUCAAGUUAUCCACUCUAAAACCAGUGGAUAACUGGCCAGGCAGCGACUGGGAGCGGUGUCAAGGAAGGAAGGAAGCUCAGUCCCGAUGACGCUCUCAGCGUCCUCACCACUCUCUCUACACGCUGCCAGUCUGAGGUUGUUGCAUGCUCCAAAUUAGACAGAGAUGCUGCUGGUCAGUUUGCUCUCUAUUAUUCCUCUAUGGUGAGGAUGAGAGGGAGGACGUUUGCUUUUCUCAUUCGACGUAAAAAGUGCAGACAUUGCUGAACUUUUUUCACCAGACCAGAGGUUUGGAGGGACCAGGUCAAAGUUUCUCUAUCUGCUCCACUGCAGCAUCAUUGAUGAGGAGGAUUGUGUGACUUGGCUGAUUUUUCCUGAAAUCAACAAUUUAUUUUGUUUAGAAAUUAGAUGUGGAACAAAAAAAAAGAGUAACAUGAAUUAAUCUGCUGAUUCAGAUUCACAUGUUAUAAUAUUUACUUCCAUUGUUCAUUUACUAGGCUAAAGUUUCAAAUGACCGGUAUGAUUAUGAUGUUUUUUUAGUUAAGACUGUUAAAUCGAUCUGCUUUAGCAUGUGUUUUUUUUUUUUGUUUGUUUGUUUGUUUUUUUCUUAUUGAGUAUUUUCUGCUUUAAUUCCUCAAAAUCCGCCAUUAAAAGAUGUUCAUUUGGUGUGGGGAAUAUAGCGUACGCAAUAUGUUUAACGUGGCACCUGUGAAUCUGUGAUCAAUCUCAUGGUCUACUGAAGAAAUCUGUUAAUUCACUUGAAUUACUUAAGCCUAGCAUGACAUAGUCGCUCCUUCUGAUAAAACUGGGAUGAACUGAUGGCGUUAGUCAAGCCUGGCUUUAUCUCUUAUCCUGGAUUUUGUAAUCCUACUUUUGUGAAACAGCCCUCUGGAAAAACUAAACAGUGUUCAAACUGUUUUCUCUGAACACAGCUCAUUAGUAAGCACAGAGACAAAUUAAAGACCCAGUUAAAGACAUGGGAAUAAAAUGUACCAAUUCAAAAAGCAUUAUGGAAAUCCUUUGGUGUGAACUUGACACAAUGGUCUGCUUAUAUAAGCCAGCGCUUAGUUGUGCAAUGAGCUGCCCAGCAGUGGUGGAUGAGUCUGGAAACUACUGGUUUCCAUAGCAUUGAAUGACUCAUAACAUCUUCUACUCCCUCUCUUCUUCUGGCCUUGAGCACACUCAUAGCGAAUAAGCUGCACCACACAGACUGCAGAAGAGGAUCUCUGUUGAGAUUCAGUUUUUAAGAUGCUAUUUAAGCAUCAUUCUGAUCUGAGAUCACACAGAAAGGUAGAAUAAUCAGUGACAUCUUCUAUCCUGUGGCUUCAGUACUGGGACAUUCAAAAGCUCCUUCGCAUUUUUAUCAUGCUGAUUAAAUCAUCCAUGCAGCUGUAGAAGGAAACAAGCCUAUAAAUAGUGCUUUUAUUAAGACAUAGUUCACAUGCCUCAAAGCUCUUGGAAUGAAAGAGCUUCAUUUGUCAGAUGGUUUCAGUGGCUCUCAUCACUUUGGCAAGGGCUCUCUCCUCUGGUUUUAUAGGCAACUACAUCUUCAUGUCUGUACAGUAGUGAUCCAAACCAAGUUCAUCUUCUGAACCCAGAAGGAUUUCUAAGGAUAAUACUUUUAAAUCCUAAUACAAUGUAGUGACAGCCACAGGACCAUCUCAAUAACAGAAUGUUAAUGUAUUACAGUAUAUUAUAUUUAUGAAAGAAACACAAGAAGACAUAGUUAAGAAAGUCAUAAGGUGUUCUUUUUAAAAUUUGCAGGAAACAGCAGCCAAAAAUGCUCUGUGCAGAUUAGAAUAAAAAGCUUUAUGACCUACAUGCAAAAUGUUAUGUGAGCUGAUGUUAAACUAAUCAAACUUAACUGUUGGGACCCAAACCAUGAAGGACUGAACUAAAUACAGAACAAAGAGAUAGAUUAUGACAUGUCUGUGUUCAUGUCCUGGGAUUGUUCCCAGGUCACCCUACACCCUCUACCUGCACAAUCUUUUUCUUUCAACAGUUUGAGUUGCUCAACAAUCUAUUUCUAAAUCAGCAAACUGAGUUGUUGGUCAUCUCUGCUCUCCUUUUAGUUCCCCUUUUCCCUAACAUUUACCUACUAUCUAACUUUGAUUAACUUAAUCAAAGUUAAUCAACUUAACUUUCAUUUAAGUUACACCUUUUACAUCAUUUCAAGUUCAUUAUCAAAAUCACAUCUAUAACCUCAUUAGCUUCUGAUUUAGCAUUCAUUUAUAAUAUUAUGAUAACCAUAACUUAUUAGUUAUCAUAAUGCAAGUAAUUAUGCGUUCUUCUGAAAAGAAAACAGGAAUCAUCCAUGAUUCUAAUUAUUUGAAACCAAAGUUACAGUUGUUCAUUCUUACAAGUAAAACAAUAUUAAUAUAAGGUUUUGGCUUUGAACUUAUUCAAUUACUCAAUGUGUUUAGACUUCAUUCUAUAAAACAUUCAUGCACUGGAAUAAGGAAUAGUCUCAACUAUUUUUUUUUAUAAAUCUGUACUUUAUUUUUAAAGGCACACACCUGUUUACUGUCCCAUAGUUAACAAUGCAGGUCAGAGGUCAAACACCAAGCAUGAAAUCAGAGGAGUUAAUGAUUGGACGUUCACAAAAACCAAACUAGAUUUUAAUUGAAACAAAUUUAUUAGCUCCUUCACAACUGCAGAUGUUAAAACAAUAACAGCAGCAUUGUUUAGUGUUUGUCAGGAAAUCAGUCUUCUCUUAUAGAUUUGAAAUAAAAUGUUACAGUGCAAUGAAACCCAACAGCAGCAUUAGGAGCAAACUCUUGGAGCUAAAAGGUAACUAAACACUACAAACACAACUGAUUAUGAAGAAAAUACAAACUAAAUGGUGGCAGUUGAAUUAAACCAUUAUGAGAGUGGCUUUCUGUUGUCCCAUGUGGUUCAACACGUCAUCGCACAUGAAAUAUCAUGAUUCUGCAUAUUUAUAUCAUUGCUUGCUCCUAAGAAACACACAACUGUUUUGUUACAAAUUAAUCUCUGAAUAAAUAUGUUAUUCAUGACAUGCCAUCUUAUUAUCUAAACUAAAUCACAAGUUUAUUCAAUCAUCAUAAAUUCCCUAUAUGCCACAAACAAACUGCAGCAAAAUUCAG